rnacentral:rRNA from 1 species
UACGGAGGGUGCAAGCGUUAUCCGGAUUCACUGGGUUUAAAGGGUGCGUAGGCGGGCAGGUAAGUCCGUGGUGAAAUCUCUGAGCUUAACUCAGAAACUGCCAUGGAUACUAUUUGUCUUGAAUAUUGUGGAGGUAAGCGGAAUAUGUCAUGUAGCGGUGAAAUGCUUAGAUAUGACAUAGAACACCAAUUGCGAAGGCAGCUUACUACACAGUUAUUGACGCUGAGGCACGAAAGGCGUGGGGAUCAAACAGG